GGGCGGAUAGCUCAGUUGGUAGAGCGCUCCCUUCACAGGGGAGAAGUCGCGGGUUCAAGUCCUGCUCCGCCCA
rnacentral:tRNA from 1 species